rnacentral:rRNA from 1 species
UACGUAGGGUGCGAGCGUUAAUCGGAAUUACUGGGCGUAAAGUGUGCGCAGGCGGCGCCGCAAGUCGAGUGUGAAAGCCCCGGGCUUAACUUGGGAAUUGCGCUCGAAACUAUGGUGCUGGAGUGUGGCAGAGGAAGGUGGAAUUCCACGUGUAGCGGUGAAAUGCGUAGAGAUGUGGAGGAACACCGAUGGCGAAGGCAGCCUUCUGGGCCAACACUGACGCUCAUGCACGAAAGCGUGGGGAGCAAACAGGA